rnacentral:rRNA from 1 species
UACGGAGGGUGCAAGCGUUAUCCGGAUUCACUGGGCUUAAAGGGUGCGUAGGCGGAUUAGUAAGUCAGUGGUGAAAUCUCUGGGCUUAACUCAGAAACUGCCAUUGAUACUAUUAGUCUUGAAUACCGUGGAGGUCAGCGGAAUAUGUCAUGUAGCGGUGAAAUGCUUAGAUAUGACAUAGAACACCAAUUGCGAAGGCAGCUGGCUACACGAAUAUUGACACUGAGGCGCGAAAGCGUGGGGAGCAAACAGG